rnacentral:piRNA from 1 species
GAGGAAAAUUCUGGGAAAGAUAGGCAGAA